GGGUGGCACCUUUAAUGCCAGCAGCUCAAGAGGCUGAGGCAGGAGGAUUCCGAGUUUGAGGCCAUCCUCAGCAACUUAGUGAGGCCCUAAGCACAUUAGAGAGGCCCUGGCUCAAAAUAAAAAGUAAAUAAAGAUCACUGGGGAGCGGCCUCAGUAGUUAAGCACCUCGAAGUUCAGCCCCAGUCCCAACAAUGUACACAGGGAGAUGCGAGGUGGCGGGUUCAGUGACGCAGGGUUUCUCGGAGCUCACCUGCUUGGGACUCCAGCAGUGGGAAUCCUGCUUCCCCCAAGGUGGAUGAGAAGGGGAUUGAACUAGUACUCAAUAGAGGACAAAGAGCCCAAGAAAAAUAGAUAGUGUGAAUGCAUUAAAUGAGAAAGAAAAAAAAACAGAGAAAGUUGUUUGCAGGAGGCGUAGAAAUACCACACAGCCCAGGAAAAGCUGAGAACUUCUAGAAACAGGCUUAGUGCAGGAGACCCCGAGACUGAAGGCCGCCUAGCCUGGCCAAUAGGGAGGCUGUGGGACUCAGUAACCCUGCCCAGGGAACAUGCCCUGAGCUUACCAACCACCAGCCAGGAGCUGAGACAGGUGCCAUCAGGGAUUAAUGCACACCUGCCUGAAGGCAGCUGGGGAGUCAGAUCCUGAGGAUUACACAGAAGGGACCAAGGGAGGGGGCCUUGGGAUGGGAAGGACGGUGGAAUGAGAGGGACAUUAUCACCUUAUAUACGUGGAUGACCACACCACUGGUGUGGCUCUGCACCAUGUUCAGUCAGAGGAAGAAGUUGUGCUCCGUCUGUGUACAAUGUGUCAAAGUGCCUGUACAAUUAACUAAAACAAAUAAAGUUAAAAUGACUGGCCUGUCGCAUACAAAGACAUUAAAAUGAUAAUGAACCAAGAUCAAGUGGGGUUCAUCCCAGGGGUGGCAGGUUAGUUCAGCAUCUGGAAAUGAAUGAAUAUGAUUCAUCCCAUGGACAGACUUAAAGACAAAACCCAUCAUUAUUUCAAUACCUGCAGAAAAAGUAUUGGAAAAGACACAGCAUCCAUUCCUGCUCCAAUCACUAGAAAAAUCAGGAUAGCAGGAAUAAAACUCAACAUGGGAAAAGGUAUACAUGCUCCACCCCACACCAACGUCAUUCCCAAUGCAGAAAAACUGAAAUCAGUCCCUCCCCAGUAGGAACAAGACAGGGAAGCCCUCUUUCACCACCUCUACUCAACAGAGUCCCUUUAAAAUCCUGGCCAGAGAAUUCAGAUAAAAGGAAGAAGUUAAAGAAUACAAAUAACAACUGAACAUAUCCCUAUUUGCUGUUG
rnacentral:lncRNA from 1 species